rnacentral:rRNA from 1 species
UCUACAGGCUUAACACAUGCAAGUCGAGGGGCAGCAUGGUCUUAGCUUGCUAAGGCCGAUGGCGACCGGCGCACGGGUGAGUAACACGUAUCCAACCUGCCGUCUACUCUUGGACAGCCUUCUGAAAGGAAGAUUAAUACAAGAUGGCAUCAUGAGUCCACAUGUUCACAUGAUUAAAGGUAUUCCGGUAGACGAUGGGGAUGCGUUCCAUUAGAUAGUAGGCGGGGUAACGGCCCACCUAGUCUUCGAUGGAUAGGGGUUCUGAGAGGAAGGUCCCCCACAUUGGAACUGAGACACGGUCCAAACUCCUACGGGAGGCAGCAGUGAGGAAUAUUGGUCAAUGGGCGAGAGCCUGAACCAGCCAAGUAGCGUGAAGGAUGACUGCCCUAUGGGUUGUAAACUUCUUUUAUAAAGGAAUAAAGUCGGGUAUGGAUACCCGUUUGCAUGUACUUUAUGAAUAAGGAUCGGCUAACUCCGUGCCAGCAGCCGCGGUAAUACGGAGGAUCCGAGCGUUAUCCGGAUUUAUUGGGUUUAAAGGGAGCGUAGAUGGAUGUUUAAGUCAGUUGUGAAAGUUUGCGGCUCAACCGUAAAAUUGCAGUUGAUACUGGAUAUCUUGAGUGCAGUUGAGGCAGGCGGAAUUCGUGGUGUAGCGGUGAAAUGCUUAGAUAUCACGAAGAACUCCGAUUGCGAAGGCAGCCUGCUAAGCUGCAACUGACAUUGAGGCUCGAAAGUGUGGGUAUCAAACAGGAUUAGAUACCCUGGUAGUCCACACGGUAAACGAUGAAUACUCGCUGUUUGCGAUAUACAGCAAGCGGCCAAGCGAAAGCGUUAAGUAUUCCACCUGGGGAGUACGCCGGCAACGGUGAAACUCAAAGGAAUUGACGGGGGCCCGCACAAGCGGAGGAACAUGUGGUUUAAUUCGAUGAUACGCGAGGAACCUUACCCGGGCUUAAAUUGCAGAUGAAUUACGGUGAAAGCCGUAAGCCGCAAGGCAUCUGUGAAGGUGCUGCAUGGUUGUCGUCAGCUCGUGCCGUGAGGUGUCGGCUUAAGUGCCAUAACGAGCGCAACCCUUGUUGUCAGUUACUAACAGGUUCCGCUGAGGACUCUGACAAGACUGCCAUCGUAAGAUGUGAGGAAGGUGGGGAUGACGUCAAAUCAGCACGGCCCUUACGUCCGGGGCUACACACGUGUUACAAUGGGGGGUACAGAGGGCCGCUACCACGCGAGUGGAUGCCAAUCCCAAAAACCUCUCUCAGUUCGGACUGGAGUCUGCAACCCGACUCCACGAAGCUGGAUUCGCUAGUAAUCGCGCAUCAGCCACGGCGCGGUGAAUACGUUCCCGGGCCUUGUACACACCGCCCGUCAAGCCAUGGGAGCCGGGGGUACCUGAAGUGCGUAACCGCGAGGAGCGCCCUAGGGUAAAACUGGUGACUGGG